rnacentral:rRNA from 1 species
GACGAACGCUGGCGGCGUGGAUUAGGCAUGCAAGUCGAACGGUAUCAUCCUUUCGGGGGUGAGAGAGUGGCGAACUGGUGAGUAACACGUAGGUUAUCUACCCUCAAGACGGGGACAACCCAGGGAAACUUGGGCUAAUACCGGAUGUGAGCAACUUUUAGUUGUUUGAAAGGUGGCGUAAGCUGUCGCUUGGGGAUGAGCCUGCGUCCUAUUAGUUAGUUGGUGAGGUAACGGCUCACCUAGGCAAUGAUAGGUAGGCGGCCUUAACGGGUGGUCGCCCACACUGGGAUUGAGAUACGGCCCAGACUCCUACGGGAGGCAGCAGUCGAGAAUAGUCUACAAUGGUCGGAAGACUGAUAGUGCGACGCCGCGUGAACGAUGAAUCCCUUCGGGUGUAAAGUUCUUUUAUAUGUGAGCAGUGCUUCUUAUCUUAACAGUAUGGGGAGAGAGAUAUUAGCAUAAUGAAUAAGCAACGGCUAACUCCGUGCCAGCAGCCGCGGUAAACU